AUGGCGCACAGAGCACUGGAGGUGACCCUCCUGUCGGCCAAGGACCUGAAGAACGUGAACCUGAUCACGCGCAUGGAGGUGUACGCGGUGGCGACCAUCUCCGGCGACCCGAUCACGCGGCAGUGCACCCCGCCGGACCCGCACGGCGGCCGCAACCCGACGUGGAACGCGACGCUGCGGUUCAGCGUCCCGGCCACCGCCGAGGAGGCCCGGGGCGGCUGCCUCCACAUCCUCCUCCGCGCGGAGCGCAUGUUCGGCGGCGAUCGUGACGUGGGCGAGGUCAUCGUGCCCCUGGCGGAGAUCCUCACCGGCGGCGGCUUCGGGGCCACCAGCUCGCCGCAGUUCGCUUCCUACCAGGUCUGCAAGGUGCACCGCUCCGAGACGCACGGCCUGCUCUACCUCACCUACCGCCUCGGCCCCGUCGUCCCGCCGUCGCCGCCUGGGAAACCGGCUGACGGGUGGCCGGUCGUCGGGUACCCGGCGCCGCAGCCGCAGGUGAUGCCGUCUUCGCCUGCAACACCAGCCGGCCAUGGGGAUGGGCCGUUUUCGCCGGCAAAACCAGCUGCUGGCUAUGACGUGUUGCCGUCUCCAAAACCUUAUGGGUACGGGACGACGCCGCCGUCUCUAAAGCCAACCGAUCAGGUGGUGUCCAUGACAACUUCUCCAAAACCAGUCGGGCGUGUGGUGUCUAUGCCACCGUCUCCAAAACCAGUUGAACAUGUGGUAUCCAUGCCGCCGUCUCCGAAACCAGCCGGGCGUGCAGUCUCCAUGCCAUCUUCUCCAAGGACAGCCGGGCACGAGGUGCCCAUGCCGUCUUCUCCAAAAUCACCCGGCGGACAUGUGUCGUCUCCGAAAUCAGCCGGUGGAUAUGUGCCGUCAUCUCUGAAACCAUCCGGUCAUGUCGUGCCACCAUCUCCAAAACCAGACGCGUCUAUGGCCGUGCCGCCGUCUCCAAAGCCUGCCGGUGGGCAUAAUAUAGCCAUGCCGUCGUCUCCGAAACCAUUCGGCGGGCAUGCGUCCGUGCCGCCGUCCCCAACUCCAUAUGGUGAGGCGGUGGGCGAACGCAUUUUUACCAUGACAGAAAUCUACCGGUGUCCCAUUAUCCAGCGAGGAGCUGCCACCACCCCUAACUAG
rnacentral:rRNA from 1 species